GUUAAGCGACUAAGCGUACACGGUGGAUGCCCUGGCAGUCAGAGGCGAUGAAGGACGUGCUAAUCUGCGAUAAGCGUCGGUAAGGUGAUAUGAACCGUUAUAACCGGCGAUUUCCGAAUGGGGAAACCCAGUGUGUUUCGACACACUAUCAUUAACUGAAUCCAUAGGUUAAUGAGGCGAACCGGGGGAACUGAAACAUCUAAGUACCCCGAGGAAAAGAAAUCAACCGAGAUUCCCCCAGUAGCGGCGAGCGAACGGGGAGCAGCCCAGAGCCUGAAUCAGUGUGUGUGUUAGUGGAAGCGUCUGGAAAGGCGCGCGAUACAGGGUGACAGCCCCGUACACAAAAAUGCACAUAUUGUGAGCUCGAUGAGUAGGGCGGGACACGUGGUAUCCUGUCUGAAUAUGGGGGGACCAUCCUCCAAGGCUAAAUACUCCUGACUGACCGAUAGUGAACCAGUACCGUGAGGGAAAGGCGAAAAGAACCCCGGCGAGGGGAGUGAAAAAGAACCUGAAACCGUGUACGUACAAGCAGUGGGAGCCUCUUUUAUGGGGUGACUGCGUACCUUUUGUAUAAUGGGUCAGCGACUUAUAUUCUGUAGCAAGGUUAACCGAAUAGGGGAGCCGAAGGGAAACCGAGUCUUAACUGGGCGUUAAGUUGCAGGGUAUAGACCCGAAACCCGGUGAUCUAGCCAUGGGCAGGUUGAAGGUUGGGUAACACUAACUGGAGGACCGAACCGACUAAUGUUGAAAAAUUAGCGGAUGACUUGUGGCUGGGGGUGAAAGGCCAAUCAAACCGGGAGAUAGCUGGUUCUCCCCGAAAGCUAUUUAGGUAGCGCCUCGUGAAUUCAUCUCCGGGGGUAGAGCACUGUUUCGGCAAGGGGGUCAUCCCGACUUACCAACCCGAUGCAAACUGCGAAUACCGGAGAAUGUUAUCACGGGAGACACACGGCGGGUGCUAACGUCCGUCGUGAAGAGGGAAACAACCCAGACCGCCAGCUAAGGUCCCAAAGUCAUGGUUAAGUGGGAAACGAUGUGGGAAGGCCCAGACAGCCAGGAUGUUGGCUUAGAAGCAGCCAUCAUUUAAAGAAAGCGUAAUAGCUCACUGGUCGAGUCGGCCUGCGCGGAAGAUGUAACGGGGCUAAACCAUGCACCGAAGCUGCGGCAGCGACGCUUAUGCGUUGUUGGGUAGGGGAGCGUUCUGUAAGCCUGUGAAGGUGUGCUGUGAGGCAUGCUGGAGGUAUCAGAAGUGCGAAUGCUGACAUAAGUAACGAUAAAGCGGGUGAAAAGCCCGCUCGCCGGAAGACCAAGGGUUCCUGUCCAACGUUAAUCGGGGCAGGGUGAGUCGACCCCUAAGGCGAGGCCGAAAGGCGUAGUCGAUGGGAAACAGGUUAAUAUUCCUGUACUUGGUGUUACUGCGAAGGGGGGACGGAGAAGGCUAUGUUGGCCGGGCGACGGUUGUCCCGGUUUAAG
rnacentral:rRNA from 1 species